AAACAGAGGAGUUAGUCCAGUCAGUGAUUCCAUCUCUACGGACAGCCAGCUCUCAGACUUAGAAGGAUUUUUCAGCAUUGUAUCUCGAGUGGAUUGAGACACCUAAGACUUUUUGAGCUUAACCCCAAUUCUUAGCAUUUUCUUCUGGGAAUCUCUAGUCACCUUUUCUCUGGAGGACUGAUGCUUUAGAGCAUCAUUAAGUGGCAUAUGACUAGGCACAAGGCAGAGAGUGCUUGGGAAGCAGAAGAAAAAAAAAAAAAAAAAAAAGAAAGAGAGAAAAAAGACCUUAAAGGAGUAAUUAUACAAUGUGGAAGAAUCCCCAUAUUUGGGCAAAUAUCCCCAAACAUUCUGAGUGCUCAGUGAAGCAUUGUGAUGAUUCUCAAUGUCUCUGCAGAAAAUAAUUUUAUCUAGGAGUAAUGCAUCAGCAGUUCUGUGAGUAAGUUGAAGGGGCUUCAAUAUACAUUUGCGCAUCCUCCAUCAAUCCUGGCAAUUACCUUCCUAUAACAUGAGAUUUGAAUAGUGCUGGUACUGCUGCAAAAUUGUAUCAGCUCUUAUUUCACCAUCAGGCUCUAAUUUUCCGCCACCAUGCACUGGUUCAAUUAGAUUCUCA
rnacentral:lncRNA from 1 species